UACAGAGGGCUCAAGCGUUGUUCGGAAUCACUGGGCGUAAAGGGUGCGUAGGCCGCACGGUAAGUCAGAGGUGAAAUCCCGGAGCUCAACUUCGGAAUUGCCUCCGAUACUGCCGUGCUUGAGGACUGGAGAGGAGAGUGGAAUUCACAGUGGAGCAGUGAAAUGCGUAGAUAUUGUGAGGAACACUAGUGGCGAAGGCGAAUCUCUGGACAGUUCCUGACGCUGAGGCACGAAGGCCAGGGGAGCAAACGGG
rnacentral:rRNA from 1 species